rnacentral:rRNA from 1 species
GACGAACGCUGGCGGCGUGCCUAAUACAUGCAAGUCGAGCGCAGGAAACUGACGGAACUCUUCGGAGGGAAGGCAGUGGAAUGAGCGGCGGACGGGUGAGUAACACGUGAGGAACCUGCCUCAAGGAUUGGGAUAACUCCGAGAAAUCGGAGCUAAUACCGGAUAGUUCAUCGGACCGCAUGGUACGUUGAUGAAAGGCGCUCCGGCGUCACCUUGAGAUGGCCUUGCGGUGCAUUAGCUAGUCGGUGGGGUAACGGCCAACCAAGGCGACGAGGCAGAGCCGACCUGAGAGGGUGAUCGGCCACACUGGGACUGAGACACGGCCCAGACUCCUACGGGAGGCAGCAGUAGGGAAUCUUCCACAAUGGACGAAAGUCUGAUGGAGCAACGCCGCGUGAGUGAUGAAGGUUUUCGGAUCGUAAAACUCUGUUGUAAGGGAAGAACACGUACGAGAGGGAAUGCUCGUACCUUGACGGUACCUUACGAGAAAGCCACGGCUAACUACGUGCCAGCAGCCGCCGUAAAAC